rnacentral:rRNA from 1 species
AAUGAACGCUGGCGGCAUGCCUAACACAUGCAAGUCGAACGAGACCUUCGGGUCUAGUGGCGCACGGGUGCGUAACGCGUGGGAAUCUGCCCUUGGGUUCGGAAUAACAGUUAGAAAUGACUGCUAAUACCGAAUGAUGUCGUAAGACCAAAGAUUUAUCGCCCAGGAUGAGCCCGCGUAAGAUUAGGUAGUUGGUGUGGUAAAGGCGCACCAAGCCGACGAUCUUUAGCUGGUCUGAGAGGAUGAUCAGCCACACUGGGACUGAGACACGGCCCAGACUCCUACGGGAGGCAGCAGUGGGGAAUAUUGGACAAUGGGCGAAAGCCUGAUCCAGCAAUGCCGCGUGAGUGAUGAAGGCCUUAGGGUUGUAAAGCUCUUUUACCCGGGAUGAUAAUGACAGUACCGGGAGAAUAAGCUCCGGCUAACUCCGUGCCAGCAGCCGCGGUAAC